UACGUAGGGUGCGAGCGUUGUCCGGAGUUACUGGGCGUAAAGCGCGCGCAGGCGGCGGUGCUGGCCCGGCGUGAAAGCCCCCGGCUCAACCGGGGAGGGUCGUCGGGGACCGCACCGCUUGAGGGCGGUAGGGGCUGGUGGAAUGCCUGGUGUAGUGGUGAAAUGCGUAGAGAUCAGGCGGAACACCCGUGGCGAAGGCGGCCAGCUGGGCCGUCCCUGACGCUGAGGCGCGAAGGCGUGGGGAGCGAACGGG
rnacentral:rRNA from 1 species